AGGAGCUGAUCGAAAUGAGCAUGCGCAUUUACAAUCUCCUGUUGUCGCUGUCGUCAUUAUGUCGUUUGUGCUGAAGGAGUUACAAAGAAUAGUGGGAAACGUUCUGAAGUCAGAUCCAAUGGAUGUUGUGUUCAGUAGACUGUUUGCUCCCAUGCCUGAAACAGAAAUUCCUGAAGACAAAGCUUUGAAAGAACUGAAAACACUCUGGUUGCAGAUAUCCCAGGUUAGAAUAGCAUUUACUGUUUAUCUAAAAGUUUAGUUACUACCAGAACAUGAUAAUGAGAACAAGCAGGUAGAC